UACGUAGGUGGCGAGCGUUAUCCGGAUUUAUUGGGUUUAAAGGGAGCGUAGGCGGCUGAUUAAGUCAGCGGUGAAAGGUAGCAGCUUAACUGUUUUACAUGCCGUUGAUACUGGUUAGCUUGAGUUGACAGAAGGCAGAUAGAAUUCCUGGUGUAGCGGUGAAAUGCUUAGAUACCAGGAGGAAUACCGAUUGCGAAGGCAGUCUGCUGCAGUCACACUGACGCUGAGGCUCGAAGGUGCGGGGAUCAAACAGG
rnacentral:ncRNA from 2 species